GCGCAAAGGCAGCCCUCAAAAUUCAGUUCAGUGUUAUGACUAGUUGCCGAAGUUUUAACGAACAUGAAAGAGGUUUUGUAGCGUGAAAUCCUGUGGAGGUGGUUGGGCAACACUGGGCUGUGACUGGCGCAGAGAUGGCUGGAAACGUAGUGGGGUUAGAGGUUGAGGUUGACGAGAUGGAGUAUAGUGGUGGAGUCGUGAGAGUAAAGGUUAAGAAGAGGACGCCUGAGGAGCCGUUGUAGUUCUUGUCCGGGAGAGUAGUGAUGAGGGAUGUUCGGUUCGCAGUGUUGUACUGAGAUAAGUGGAGUUCAUGGUGUUGGUGAAAUGUAAGGACGAGGAUGGGGUCACAUCGGUGAGUCCGAUAACGAUGAUUAGGGAUUUGGAGAGAAAAGUAGGAGAGGUUGAGCCUGCUAAAGUUGUUUGUGAUGGAAGUUUGGUGGGUCGUAUCAAUACUAAACAGUAUGAGAAGGAGCUCAAACUCAAGCAGAGAAUAGUUCAAAAUGAGAAGAUCCUGCCAUGGAAAAGACGACUGGGCGGACAUAAAGUGUAAAGGAGGGGAAAUAACUCCCACCAUGCAGCAGGACACCUUCAGCUGUGGGGUCUUUGUAAUGCAGAUGGCCAAGGAAGUUGCACAGAACUUCUCCAACAUCCCCUCCCAAACUGAUAUGGAACCUUCAAAAACACAUGGAGAAACUGCGAAAAGAAAUGGCUGAGGAUAUACUAAAAAUGUCUGAGUUCAACAAAGCCAACAACUGCUUCAUGUGUGCCACUGAUGAAGAACCUGGAUGUGGCCCAAAGACUGACUGGAAGAAAACCCUUACACCUGCACUCCAGGGUGAAGUUUCCCGAAGGUACAGAUCUACGAUCAGCCCCCCCACAAACUCUAACCUUAACUAUUAUUUGGGGAAAUACAAAGCUGACCCUAGAUCAGCGUGUAGGGGCAACUUCAUUCGACUCCAUGAGGCACAGGAUGAAUCUACUAUCUGAGAGCCAAGGCUUUCACUUCAUCAAGGGGCAGGUGGGAACUGCAAAGCAGAAAUAUCCUCGACUGAACACAUCAUUAGUGAAAUGCUCUGUACAUGAUUAGUUAUUAACUUCAUUAUGCCCUCUGUUAAUAGCUGCUGUUCAAUGAACUCUCGGGUUCGACAUCUCUGACGACUCUGCAUUCAUAAAUCAUAUUAAUGAUCUUUAGUUCCGCUAGUCAAAAUUGAUUAAAUCGUUUUUUUCUCAUCAAUUUACACACAAUACCCUAUAAUGACAAAGCAAAAACAGGUUUUUAGACAUUUUUGUAAAUGUAUAAACAAAAAAUAUAUGGAAAUGUCACAUUUACAUAAGUAUUCAGAACCUUUAUUCAGUACUUUGUUGAAGCACCUUUUGCAGCAAUUACAGCUCCGAGUCUUCUUGGGUACGACGCUACAAGCUUGGCACACCUGUAUUUGGGGAGUUUCUCCCAUUCUUCUCUGCAGAUCCUCUCAAGCUCCGUCAGUUUGGAUGGGCAGCGUGGCUGACAGCUAUUUUCAUUUAUCUCGAGAGAUGUUCUAUCGGGUUCAAGUCCGGGCUCUGGCUGGGCCACUCAAGGACAUUCACAGACUUGUCCCAAAGCCACUCCUGUGUUGUCUUGGCUGUGUGCUUAGGGUCAGUGUCCUGUUGGAAGGUGAACCUUCGCCCCAGUCUGAGGUCCUGAGCACUCUGGAGCAGGUUUUCAUCAAGGAUCUCUUUGUAUUUUGCUCCAUUCAUCUUUCUCUCGACCCUGACUAGUCUCCCAGUCCCUGCCACUAAAAACCAUCCCCACAGCAUGAUGCUGCCAACACCAUGCUUCGCCGUAGGGAUUGGGCCAGGUUUCCUCCAGACGUGACGCUUGGCAUUCAGGCCAAAGAGUUCAAUCUUUGUUUCAUCAGAUCAGAGAAUCUUGUUUCUCAUGGCCUGAGACAUUUUUAUGCCUUUUGGCAAACUCCAAGCAGGCUGUCUUGUGCCUUUUACUGAGGAGUGGCUUCCGUCUGGCCAGUCUACAAUAAAGGCCUGAUUGGGGGAGUGCUGCAAAGAUGGUUGUCCUUCUGGAUGGUUCUCCCAUCUGUCAGAGUGACCAUCGGGUUCUUGGUCACAUCCCUGACCAAGGCCCUUCUCCCCUGAUUGCUCAGUUUGGCUGGGCGGCCAGCUCUAGGAAGAGUCUUGGUGGUUCCAAACCUCUUCCAUGUAAGAAUGGGGGAGGUCACUGUUCUUGGGGACCUUAAAAUGCUGCAGGCAUUUUUUGGUACCCUUCCCCAGAUCUGUGCCCUGACACAAUCCUGUCUCGGACCUCUAUAGACAAUUCCUUCGACCACAUGGCUUGGUUUUUGCUCUCACAUGCACCGUCAACUGUGGGACCUUACGUAGACAGGUGUGUGCCUUUCCAAAUCAUGUCCAAUCAAUUUAAUUUCCACAUGUGGACUCCAAUCAAGUUGUAGAAACAUUUCAAGGAUGAUCAAUGGAAACAGGAUGCACCUGAGCUCAAUUUCGAGUCUCAUAGCAAAGGGUCUAAAUACUUCCGUAAAUAAUGUAUGUAUGAUGCAUUUCUGUUUCUAAAACCUUUUUUCACUUUGUCAUUAUGGGGUAUUGUGUGUAGAUUUAUGAGGAGAACAAUUUAUUUAAUCCAUUUUAGAGUAAGGCUGCAACGUAACAAAAUGUGGAAAAAGUCCAGGGAUCUAAACACGUUCCGAUUGCACUGUAUAUACUGUAUUCUAAUCAAGGCCUAUCCUAUUGAACUAUUGCUGUACAUAUACUAUUCUAUCCUACGUGUUCUACAGAUAUACUACAUGUUCUAUCCAUAUACUGUCCAUAACGUCUGUACAUCCCAUCAAAUGCAUAUAUAUUUAUACUCUGGACUCUGACAUUGCUCAUCCUAAUAUUUCUAUAUUUCUUAAUUCCAUUAUUUUACUUUUAAGAUUUGUGUGUAUUGUUAGAUAUUACAGCGCUGUUGGAGCUCGGAACAUAAGCAUUUCGUUGUACCUACAAUAACAUCUGCUAAUAUGUGUAUGCUGCCAAUAAAAUUUGAUUUAAUUUGA